UCCCUUAUUGUUAUCUCUAUAUGUGACAAAUCUUUCAUCUUUGAAGUUUAAUUGGACGAAUCUCUAUAUAAUUCCAAUGUCAAGAUAAUUAGUUCUAACAUGGUUUCCUAUUUUCAAACUAUGGGCAUUUUACAUCAAACGAGUUGUGUUGAAACUCCUCAAUAAAAUGGAGUUGUUGAGAGGAAACAUCAACACAUUUUGAACAUUGCAAAGGGUCUUUUGUAUCAGUCAUGUUUGCCUAUUUUAUUUUGGUGUUACACUAUUCUUUAUGUUGUGCAUAUCAUUAACAUUCUUCCUUCUGUGACAUUGAACAAUAGUUCCCCUUAUUAUUUGCUUCAUGCUCAUAUACCUGACUAUUCCACCUUAAAGGCUUUUUGUUGUUUGUGCUUCGCUAACAAAACUAAAUUUUAACCUCGUGCUAGAAAAUGUAUUCAUUUAGGACAUAAAGAAAGGAGUAAAAGAACCCAAAACUUAUCAAUAAGCUAUCAAACAUGAGGCUUGGAAAAUUUCCAUGGAUAAUGAAAUUCAUGCUCUACAAAUGAACAAUACUUGGGAACUCAUCGAGUUACCUCUUGGAAAGGCUAUUAUCGGUUGUAAAUGAGUCUUCAAAAAGAAGUUCAAGGCUGAUGGUAGUCUAGAAAGGCACAAGGCUCGCUGUUGCAAAAUGUUAUACUCAACAAGAAGGGGUCGAUUUUUUUGAAACUUUUUCUCCCGUGGUAAAAAUGACUACUGUCCAUCUUGUUUUUGCUUUGGCGGCUGCCAAGUGAUGAAUUUACAACAGUUAGAUAUAUAUAAGGAUUUUCUUCAUGGUGACCUCAAGGAAUAGGUCUACAUGCAUAUUCCCCCUGGAUUCCAAUCUCCUCAUUAUAACUUAGUUUGAAAAUUAAAAAAAUCUUUCUAUGGGCUUACACAAGCUAGUAGAAAUUUGAACCAAAAACUUACCAAUACUCUCAUUAGCUUGGGAUAUACCCAAUCUUUACAUGAUUACUCUUUUUUUUUUUUAAUCAAAUUUCAUGUUUGUCACUUUACUGUUUUAUUGAUGUAUGUAGAUGAUAUAGUUUUAGCCAUGGACGACAUUCAUGAUAUUAAUUCUAUCAAACAACUUCUCCAUUCUUCAUUCCAAAUCAAAGACCUUGGAGCACUUAAAUUUUUCUUGGGUCUUGAGGUAGUAAGAUCAAGCAAAAGAAUCUCUCUUAAUAAACACAAAUAUGUUUUGGAACUCAUUGAUGACAUGAGUCUCCUUUAAUGCAAACCGGUGUCCACUCCCAUGAUUCCAAAUCUCAAACUGUCCGCAACAGAAGACACUCCUUUCUCAUAUCAAAAACUAUUUCGACGACUGAUUGGUCGCCUCAUCUAUCUUACCAACACUAUACCAGAUCUCUCUUACGCUGUUAACAAACUCUGUCAAUUUGUCUCCUUUCCCAUGCAAACUCAUUUUCAUGCUGCCACUCAGAUUACCUGUUAUUUAAAAGGCUGCUCGGGCAAAUGUCUCUUAUUUUCUUCCUCUUCCGACAUCAGUUUAUCUGCACUCAACGACAAUGAUUGGACAUCAUGCCCCGAUUCUAGACUCUCCAUCAUUGGCUUCAAUAUCUUCCUUGUUUCAUCUUUAAUUUCAUGGAAGACAAAGGAACAAAACGUAGUUUCUCGUUCUUCUUCGGAGGCUGGAUACUGUGCUUUAGCCAACACAUCUUGUGAAGUUCAAUGGUUACUUUAUCUUUUUCACGGUCUUCACUUUCCCAUGACGAAACAUGUUCCCAUAUAUUAUGACAACAAAUAUGCCAUCUAAAUUGCUCAAAAUCCUAUUUUUCAUGAACGCACCAAACACAUAUAGUUAGAUUGUCACCUAGUUCAUGACAAGUUAAUGUUAGGCAUCAUUUAUCUUCUCCCUGUUUUUUCCUCGAACCAGUUAGCAGACAUUCACACCAAACUUCUUCAUUCCAUUUAUCCAAGCUACACAUGAUUGACAUCUAUGAUCCAACUUAAAGGAGACUGUUAGAUUAUAAUUAGUUUACCUUGUUUGUGUAAUUUUACUGAAUCUAUUGUAGUAUAAAUACUGUAUACCUUUACCUUUUUAAUUAAGAAAAAUAAUUACUUUCAA